UGGAUGAGUUGACCCUUCAGCUCUUGAAAUGAACUUUGAUUGGUUUGAGUGAAUCAGUAAAGCCCAUCACACUGGCCAUCGUGAUUGGUUUGGGAAUGGGUCCAUGCCAUAAUUCCAACUAACGAGACAUGUUCACUGGAGGUGAACUAGGAAGCACAAAGUCUCAGACAUACUAUAUCAGUCUCAGUAUGAAGGCAGUGCUAUGGACAUCAGAGUCCUUGAUGACAGGGUUCAGGCUCUGGAUCAACCCAUCCAGAGAGGUCGUGAGGAUGGAGCACCACGUUGGGAUUAGUGCCCUUGUAAGAAAAGACGGAAGAAAGCCUCUCUUGCUCUCUCUGCCAUGUGAGGACAUGUGAUAAGGCAGCUGUUUGUAAGCCAGGAAGAGAGCCUCACCAGAACCUAACCAUGGCAGCUCCAUGCCUCUGAAAUGAUUCACAGGCAAGCUGCCUUUGGGGGGCUCUGAGGGUGGCAUCGUCACCUAAAUAAAUGAAGAUUACAAAGAAGAACAAGGAAGAGAAGGGGAAGGAAAGAAAAGGAUGGUCCCUAGGCUUUGUGAUUCAAAAUAAGGAGAAUGGAUAAACAGAGACAAGACUGAAAAGGCAGAAGGAAAGGAGGAAAUGAACAAAAGACCGAACAGAAGAAAUGGAAAGUGAGGGGUUAAGACAGUGAGGAGCUCCAGAGCUGCUGAAAUGUAAGAAUCAGGCUCUGAGCUACUGUGCUGGGGAUACCAAGAUGAGUAGGCCAUGGUCCCUGCCUUCAGGAAGUUAAAGUCUGGUGGGAAAGACGGAGAAGUCUACACAAUUUUCAUACCUAUGAUAAGUGCUACAACAGAGAUAUCUCAUUCAGUCAAUAUUUAUUAACAAUUUACAAGUUUUAGGCACUAGGAAUGUUACAGUGAGCUAGACAGACACAAUCUCUACCUUAAUGGAGCUCAUGUCCAAUGGGAGCCCCAAAUUACAAGGGACACAGAAAAGGGGGCCCUAAUUCAAACUGAGAAUCAUCAGUAAAGGACUCCCGAAGGUUCUGAAGCUUCCACUGAAUCUUUUUUCUUUUGUCUGUGUUGGGUCUUCGUUGCUGUGCACGGGCUUUCUCUAGUUGCGGCGAGCAGGGGGCUACUCUUUGUUGCAGUGCGCCGGCUUCUCA